UCAGUGAACUGAGCAGCUGGGCUGUGCCGACAGGUUCGUGUGGGGCUCCUGGGCCUCCUGCAGCCGCGUGAUCCGCCAGCCUUGACCUCCCAAAGUGCGGGGAUUACAGGCAUGAGCCACCGCGCCUGGCCUAUAGUCAGUUCUUGAGAGGGGUUGCUAUUGCCAUAUGGCAACUGUGGUAACCCUCUCUCCUAGACCUGCCUAGAUCCGAAAGCCAGCCCUGGAAGGAAUACCUCUCAUUCUCAAGAAGAAGUUAAUGUCUGCCUUAUAGUAGAUGUCCAAUACAUCUUUGAACAAUU
rnacentral:sRNA from 1 species